AUACGUAGGGGGCGAGCGUUGUCCGGAAUGAUUGGGCGUAAAGGGCGCGUAGGCGGCGCGGUAAGUCUGGAGUGAAAGUCCUGCUUUCAAGGUGGGAAUUGCUUUGGAUACUGCCGCGCUUGAGUGCAGGAGAGGUUAUCGGAAUUCCCGGUGUAGCGGUGAAAUGCGUAGAGAUCGGGAGGAACACCAGUGGCGAAGGCGGGUUGCUGGCCUGCAACUGAAGCUGAGGCGCGAAAGUGUGGGGAGCAAACAGGCUUUGAUGCCCUGGUUUUCAACACUGUAAACGAAAAUUGCUCGGUGUAAGAGGUAUCGACCCCUUUUGUGCCGGAGUCAACACAAAACGCAUUACGCCUGGGGAGUACGGCCGCAAGGUGGAAACUCAAAUGAAUUGCCGGGG
rnacentral:rRNA from 1 species